AUGCUCACUUUGGCAGCUCAUAUACUAAAAUUAGAAUGAUAGAAGAUUAGCAUGGCCCCUGCACAGGGAUGACACACAAAUUCAUGAAGCAGUUCAUAGUAAA
ensembl:snRNA U6 U6 spliceosomal RNA